rnacentral:rRNA from 1 species
GUGAGGAAUUUUCCGCAAUGGGCGAAAGCCUGACGGAGCAAUGCCGCGUGAAGGAUGAAGGCCUAUGGGUUGUAAACUUCUUUUCUCAGAAAAGAAUUAUGACGGUAUCUGAGGAAUAAGCAUCGGCUAACUCUGUGCCAGCAGCCGCGGUAAGACAGAGGAUGCAAGCGUUAUCCGGAAUGAUUGGGCGUAAAGCGUCUGUAGGUUGUUUAAAAAGUAUUCUGUCAAAGAUUAGGGCUUAACCCUAGAUAGGCAGAAUAAACUUUUAAGCUAGAGUUUGGUAGAGGCAGAGGGAAUUCCCGGUGGAGCGGUAAAAUGCGUAGAUAUCGGGAGGAACACCAAAGGCGAAGGCACUCUGCUGGGCCAAUACUAACACUGAGAGACGAAAGCGAGGGGAGCAAAUGGGAUUAGAUACCCUAGUAGUCC